GUGCUUGCUUCGGCAGCACAUACACUAAAAUUGGAAUGAUACAGAGAAGAUUAGCAUGGCCCCUGCACAAGGAUGACACACAAAUUUGUGAAGCAUUCCAUAUUUUU
ensembl:snRNA U6 U6 spliceosomal RNA